UCCCUCUCAGGGUCGCACUUGGAGAGUUUCCAGUACUCUACCAGUGUUGGCUAUCGGAGAGAGAGUCAAGCAGAGGCAUACCCAUUCCAUUUCUAGCUUGGUGGUGGCUAGCAAGUGGAAGGUAAUCUGCUGCAAGU